CGAGCGAAGCGGACGAGAAGCUGUGCGUUCUCUGAUGUUAGCGGCGGACGGGUGAGUAACACGUGGAUAACCUACCUAUAAGACUGGGAUAACUUCGGGAAACCGGAGCUAAUACCGGAUAAUAUUUUGAACCGCAUGGUUCAAAAGUGAAAGACGGUCUUGCUGUCACUUAUAGAUGGAUCCGCGCUGCAUUAGCUAGUUGGUAAGGUAACGGCUUACCAAGGCAACGAUGCAUAGCCGACCUGAGAGGGUGAUCGGCCACACUGGAACUGAGACACGGUCCAGACUCCUACGGGAGGCAGCAGUAGGGAAUCUUCCGCAAUGGGCGAAAGCCUGACGGAGCAACGCCGCGUGAGUGAUGAAGGUCUUCGGAUCGUAAAACUCUGUUAUUAGGGAAGAACAUAUGUGUAAGUAACUGUGCACAUCUUGACGGUACCUAAUCAGAAAGCCACGGCUAACUACGUGCCAGCAGCCGCGGUAAUACGUAGGUGGCAAGCGUUAUCCGGAAUUAUUGGGCGUAAAGCGCGCGUAGGCGGUUUUUUAAGUCUGAUGUGAAAGCCCACGGCUCAACCGUGGAGGGUCAUUGGAAACUGGAAAACUUGAGUGCAGAAGAGGAAAGUGGAAUUCCAUGUGUAGCGGUGAAAUGCGCAGAGAUAUGGAGGAACACCAGUGGCGAAGGCGACUUUCUGGUCUGUAACUGACGCUGAUGUGCGAAAGCGUGGGGAUCAAACAGGAUUAGAUACCCUGGUAGUCCACGCCGUAAACGAUGAGUGCUAAGUGUUAGGGGGUUUCCGCCCCUUAGUGCUGCAGCUAACGCAUUAAGCACUCCGCCUGGGGAGUACGACCGCAAGGUUGAAACUCAAAGGAAUUGACGGGGACCCGCACAAGCGGUGGAGCAUGUGGUUUAAUUCGAAGCAACGCGAAGAACCUUACCAAAUCUUGACAUCCUUUGACAACUCUAG
rnacentral:rRNA from 1 species